rnacentral:rRNA from 1 species
GACGAACGCUGGCGGCGUGCCUAAUACAUGCAAGUAGAACGCUGAAGAGAGGAGCUUGCUCUUCUUGGAUGAGUUGCGAACGGGUGAGUAACGCGUAGGUAACCUGCCUUGUAGCGGGGGAUAACUAUUGGAAACGAUAGCUAAUGCCGCAUAACGAUGGAUGACACAUGUCAUUUAUUUGAAAGGGGCAAUUGCUCCACUACAAGAUGGACCUGCGUUGUAUUAGCUAGUAGGUGAGGUAACGGCUCACCUAGGCGACGAUACAUAGCCGACCUGAGAGGGUGAUCGGCCACACUGGGACUGAGACACGGCCCAGACUCCUACGGGAGGCAGCAGUAGGGAAUCUUCGGCAAUGGGGGCAACCCUGACCGAGCAACGCCGCGUGAGUGAAGAAGGUUUUCGGAUCGUAAAACUCUGUUGUAAGUCAAGAACGAGUGUGAGAGUGGAAAGUUCACACUGUGACGGUAGCUUACCAGAAAGGGACGGCUAACUACGUGCCAGCAGCCGCGGUAAUACGUAGGUCCCGAGCGUUGUCCGGAUUUAUUGGGCGUAAAGCGAGCGCAGGCGGUUUGAUAAGUCUGAAGUUAAAGGCUGUGGCCCAACCAUAGUUCGCUUUGGAAACUGUCAAACUUGAGUGCAGAAGGGGAGAGUGGAAUUCCAUGUGUAGCAGUGAAAUGCGUAGAUAUAUGGAGGAACACCGGUGGCGAAAGCGGCUCUCUGGUCUGUAACUGACGCUGAGGCUCGAAAGCGUGGGGAGCGAACAGGAUUAGAUACCCUGGUAGUCCACGCCGUAAACGAUGAGUGCUAGGUGUUGGAUCCUUUCCGGGAUUCAGUGCCGCAGCUAACGCAUUAAGCACUCCGCCUGGGGAGUACGACCGCAAGGUUGAAACUCAAAGGAAUUGACGGGGGCCCGCACAAGCGGUGGAGCAUGUGGUUUAAUUCGAAGCAACGCGAAGAACCUUACCAGGUCUUGACAUCCCGAUGCUAUUUCUAGAGAUAGAAAGUUACUUCGGUACAUCGGUGACAGGUGGUGCAUGGUUGUCGUCAGCUCGUGUCGUGAGAUGUUGGGUUAAGUCCCGCAACGAGCGCAACCCCUAUUGUUAGUUGCCAUCAUUCAGUUGGGCACUCUAGCGAGACUGCCGGUAAUAAACCGGAGGAAGGUGGGGAUGACGUCAAAUCAUCAUGCCCCUUAUGACCUGGGCUACACACGUGCUACAAUGGUUGGUACAACGAGUUGCGAGUCGGUGACGGCAAGCUAAUCUCUUAAAGCCAAUCUCAGUUCGGAUUGUGGGCUGCAACUCGCCUACAUGAAGUCGGAAUCGCUAGUAAUCGCGGAUCAGCACGCCGCGGUGAAUACGUUCCCGGGCCU